GGUGAACGCUGGCGGCGCGCUUAAGACAUGCAAGUCGAACGGCAGUCUUCGGACUGUAGUGGCGCACGGGUGAGUAACGCGUAACUGACCUACCCCAAAGUCGCGGAUAACGAUUCGAAAGAAUCGCUAAUACGUGAUGUGCUGUCAGAUUGUGUUCUGCCAGUAAAGAUUGAUUGCUUUGGGAUGGGGUUGCGUUCCAUCAGCUAGUUGGUGGGGCAAAGGCCCACCAAGGCGACGACGGAUAGCCGGCCUGAGAGGGUGGCCGGCCACAGGGGCACUGAGACACGGGUCCCACUCCUACGGGAGGCAGCAGUUAGGAAUCUUCCGCAAUGGGCGAAAGCCUGAUGGAGCGACGCCGCGUGAGGGAUGAAGGUCUUCGGAUCGUAAACCUCUGAAUCAGGGACGAAAGACACUUCGGUGGGAUGACGGUACCUGAGUAAUAGCACCGGCUAACUCCGUGCCAGCCGCCGCCGUAAAAC
rnacentral:rRNA from 1 species